rnacentral:rRNA from 1 species
GACGAACGCUGGCGGCGUGCCUAACACAUGCAAGUCGAACGGAGAGGACAUGAAGUAUUUCGGUACGGAAUGCUCUCUUAGUGGCGAACGGGUGAGUAACACGUGGGCAACCUGCCCCAGACUGGGGGAUAACAUUGUGAAAAACAGUGCUAAUACCGCAUGACAGGGUUCCGGGCAUCCGGGACCCUUGAAAGGAGAAAUCCGGUCAGGGAUGGGCCCGCGUCCAAUUAGCUAGUUGGCGGGGUAACGGCCACCAAGGCGACGAUUGGUAGCCGAACUGAGAGGUUGAUCGGCCACAUUGGGACUGAGACACGGCCCAGACUCCUACGGGAGGCAGCAGUGGGGAAUAUUGGGCAAUGGGCGAAAGCCUGACCCAGCGACGCCGCGUGAAGGAUGAAGGUCUUCGGAUUGUAAACUUCUUUGAUCAGGGAAGAAAGAAAUGACGGUACCUGAAAAACAAGCCACGGCUAACUACGUG